GGCGAAUUUAAGUGGCUGAAAAAUAAGGAUUUGAGUGGGAUUGCAAAUCCGUUUACAGCGGUUCGAUUCCGCUUGAGGCCUCCA
rnacentral:tRNA from 1 species